GGCAUAUUGAACCUAAAGUCGAUGAGACAAUGGUGGGAAUGUCAGUGUACCCUAGUGGUUCAUGCUGGCUCUGUUGCAUCCAAGAGAAAACUGCAACUGCCUAUUGUGCUAUGGAAAAGCAUCUGAGUCCAGUUUGCCAGUAGAGACGGGAAAAUGUGAUCUGCAUUAGACGAAUUUACCAAGUUUGUCAUACUGAAGAGGUCAUCUCUUCCAAGAAGAUACGCUCCGGCUUGUGGGUUCCAGCUACGGAGUCAACCUAACACUGACUCAAGCACACCUCAGGCCAAGCAUUGUUCAUCUUCUUCUCUGAAGGAGGGACAUCGCUGUCUUAGAUGCUAACUGUCUGAGUUAUAGCCGUGUAUAACCAGAGUUCGGAACGAUCUGGAUCAGUUAAAAUCUGUGGACCAGAGCAACGUUGAGGCAACCUUCUGGACACAGAUGUUGAGUCAAGAAAGUUCUCCAAGCUAAUUCACCCUUUGCUGUGCUAGGAAGGAAUCAAAAUGCAUCUUUUCCUUGAGUCGCCAGUGGGAGAAGAAAAAUAAUUAGACUUUGCACAUCACACACAAACAGUUCAACCAAAGACACACAGAACUAGGGCUGAAGAGGGUGGAUCGCCUUUACUCAGUGUCUCGCAAAGGUUCAGCUUCCUGUCAAAUCUACUUUCAUCCUGCCAAAUCUACUCUGAAGUCUUGGCUCUAUUAAAGUUAAGAAAACACUCCCAGGUAAACAAAGCUUUAGGAGACUA